AAUGAAAUAUUGUCCCAGCACGGACUUCUCCCAUCCAGCAGGAAAUUGUACAUCAGGGGAUGGAACGCUAGGAGAUGGGACGUCGCCAGCAAAAUGUCAUGCGGUGAGAGACUUUACUUCCUGAAUCUGAGUACUGCAUCUAAGCUCCAGUGUGAAGCAUCUACAGUCACAGAGGGGAUUGCACAAAGGGAGUGCUAAUUUCUAACAGUCCAACUCUUUAAGUGGGUGAAAACAAGACUUAGACCCAGUUGCCCAAGAAAACUAAAGCUAUUAUGUAAUGACGCCUGCAGGGGUUCCACAACUGUUGCAUAGCUUAGAACAAAUUUGGCACUUUUUGAGUUCAAGCACUAUGGCCUUCUCCAAUGCUAUUUGAAGAUGAAAGAUGGGUGCUGCCUAUGAGGACUUGGAAACUAAAGGAGCUAGUACCCCUCAGUCUGAUCUAGUCAUGCCAUAGCCAGAGCCACGUGACUUCCUAUUUAUCCAGACAGGCUGAAUGGCACAUCAAAAGAAGGAUAUGGAAAUUCACUGACGAUGAGAUGACUGGCAGCAAGCAUGACUCUCUCCAAGAUUUGACAUAUCAGAUGAAGGGGUGACAUUUUUGAAUUAUGAUGACGUCAGCCACAAUUUGUGUCUCACUGAUUAUUGACUGCAAUAAAAAUUAAUGCCAGAAGCCAGUUCUUCUGUAGCUUAUCCCUGGGUCAAAUAUUCUUGUG